rnacentral:rRNA from 1 species
UACGAGAGGCCCAAACAUUAUUCGGAAUUACUGGGCUUAAAGAGUUCGUAGGCGGUGUGGAAAGUAGGGUGUGAAAUCCCUCGGCCUAACCGAGGAACUGCGCUUGAAACUACCAGACUCGAGGGAGAUAGAGGAAAGCGGAACUGAUGGUGUAGCGGUGAAAUGCGCAGAUAUCAGGAAGAACACCGGUGGCGAAGGCGGCAUCCUGGACCAAUACUGACACUGAGGAGCGAAAGCCAGGGGAGCAAACGGG